rnacentral:rRNA from 3 species
AAAUUGAAGAGUUUGAUCAUGGCUCAGAUUGAACGCUGGCGGCAGGCCUAACACAUGCAAGUCGAACGGUAGCACAGAGAGCUUGCUCUCGGGUGACGAGUGGCGGACGGGUGAGUAAUGUCUGGGAAACUGCCUGAUGGAGGGGGAUAACUACUGGAAACGGUGGCUAAUACCGCAUAACGUCGCAAGACCAAAGAGGGGGACCUUCGGGCCUCUUGCCAUCAGAUGUGCCCAGAUGGGAUUAGCUUGUUGGUGAGGUAACGGCUCACCAAGGCGACGAUCCCUAGCUGGUCUGAGAGGAUGACCAGCCACACUGGAACUGAGACACGGUCCAGACUCCUACGGGAGGCAGCAGUGGGGAAUAUUGCACAAUGGGCGCAAGCCUGAUGCAGCCAUGCCGCGUGUAUGAAGAAGGCCUUCGGGUUGUAAAGUACUUUCAGCGGGGAGGAAGGUGUUGUGGUUAAUAACCGCAGCAAUUGACGUUACCCGCAGAAGAAGCACCGGCUAACUCCGUGCCAGCAGCCGCGGUAAUACGGAGGGUGCAAGCGUUAAUCGGAAUUACUGGGCGUAAAGCGCACGCAGGCGGUCUGUCAAGUCGGAUGUGAAAUCCCCGGGCUCAACCUGGGAACUGCAUUCGAAACUGGCAGGCUUGAGUCUUGUAGAGGGGGGUAGAAUUCCAGGUGUAGCGGUGAAAUGCGUAGAGAUCUGGAGGAAUACCGGUGGCGAAGGCGGCCCCCUGGACAAAGACUGACGCUCAGGUGCGAAAGCGUGGGGAGCAAACAGGAUUAGAUACCCUGGUAGUCCACGCCGUAAACGAUGUCUACUUGGAGGUUGUGCCCUUGAGGCGUGGCUUCCGGAGCUAACGCGUUAAGUAGACCGCCUGGGGAGUACGGCCGCAAGGUUAAAACUCAAAUGAAUUGACGGGGGCCCGCACAAGCGGUGGAGCAUGUGGUUUAAUUCGAUGCAACGCGAAGAACCUUACCUGGUCUUGACAUCCACAGAACUUUCCAGAGAUGGAUUGGUGCCUUCGGGAACUGUGAGACAGGUGCUGCAUGGCUGUCGUCAGCUCGUGUUGUGAAAUGUUGGGUUAAGUCCCGCAACGAGCGCAACCCUUAUCCUUUGUUGCCAGCGGUCCGGCCGGGAACUCAAAGGAGACUGCCAGUGAUAAACUGGAGGAAGGUGGGGAUGACGUCAAGUCAUCAUGGCCCUUACGACCAGGGCUACACACGUGCUACAAUGGCGCAUACAAAGAGAAGCGACCUCGCGAGAGCAAGCGGACCUCAUAAAGUGCGUCGUAGUCCGGAUUGGAGUCUGCAACUCGACUCCAUGAAGUCGGAAUCGCUAGUAAUCGUGGAUCAGAAUGCCACGGUGAAUACGUUCCCGGGCCUUGUACACACCGCCCGUCACACCAUGGGAGUGGGUUGCAAAAGAAGUAGGUAGCUUAACCUUCGGGAGGGCGCUUACCACUUUGUGAUUCAUGACUGGGGUGAAGUCGUAACAAGGUAACCGUAGGGGAACCUGCGGUUGGAUCACCUCCUUA